rnacentral:rRNA from 1 species
CGGUGGAGUAUGUGGUUUAAUUCGAUGCAACGCGAAGAACCUUACCUGGUCUUGACAUCCCGGAGACCCUUAGGAAACUAGGGGGUGGCUUCCAUCUGGAAGAAAUCUGGAGACAGGUGCUGCAUGGCUGUCGUCAGCUCCGUGUCGUGAGAUGUUGGGUUAAGUCCCGCAACGAGCGCAACCCUUGCCUUUAGUUGCCAGCAGUUCGGCUGGGCACUCUAAAGGGACUGCCGGUGUUAAACCGGAGGAAGGUGGGGGAUGACGUCAAGUCCUCAUGGCCUUUAUGACCAGGGCUACACACGUACUACAAUGGCCGAUACAAAGGGCAGCGACACUGCGAGGUGAAGCCAAUCCCGUAAAAUCGGUCUCAGUCCGGAUUGGAGUCUGCAACUCGACUCCAUGAAGUUGGAAUCGCUAGUAAUCGUGGAUCAGCAUGCCACGGUGAAUACGUUCCCGGGCCUU